UACGAAGGGGGCUAGCGUUGUUCGGAUUUACUGGGCGUAAAGCGCGUGUAGGCGGGCUGGAAAGUUGGGGGUGAAAUCCCGAGGCUCAACCUCGGAACUGCCUCCAAAACUUCCAGCCUGGAGCAAGAUAGAGGCAAGUGGAAUUGCGAGUGUAGAGGUGAAAUUCGUAGAUAUUCGCAGGAACACCGGUGGCGAAGGCGGCCCACUGGAUCGGCAUUGACGCUGGAGGCGCGAAAGCUAGGGGAGCAAACGGG
rnacentral:rRNA from 1 species